rnacentral:tRNA from 1 species
GCCGAGAUGGCGGAAUAGGCAGACGCGAAGGACUUAAAAUCCUUUUCUCGAAAGGGAGUGGGGGUUCGAUUCCCCCUCUCGGCA